GAUAAAAUUAAAGAGAAAGAACGAAAUAUGGAUGUGGUGAUAAUCUUAUUUACAAUCUUAUUAUUUUCCUUGCUUCCAUGGCCUUCCUCCCUCCCUUCUUUCCUUUCUCCUUCCUUGUUAAACUUCACGAUGCCGAGUUGGGAAAUAAAUUCCUUCUCCAGGAGGGACAUAAUAAUUUGGCAAUAACCACCGAAAAGAUAGAAGAGAUGAGCCAAAAAACCACUCAAAGUUUUUUUCUGGCCCCAAAUCGUAAGGAUU
rnacentral:ribozyme from 1 species